rnacentral:rRNA from 1 species
UACAGAGGUCUCAAGCGUUGUUCGGAUUCAUUGGGCGUAAAGGGUGCGUAGGUGGCGCUGUAAGUCAGGUGUGAAAUUUCGGAGCUUAACUCCGAAACUGCAUUUGAUACUGUCGGGCUAGAGUGCGGAAGAGGCGAGUGGAAUUCCUGGUGUAGCGGUGAAAUGCGCAGAUAUCAGGAGGAACACCAAUUGCGAAGGCAGCUCGCUGGGACGUGACUGACGCUGAGACGCGAAAGCGUGGGGAGCAAACAGG